AGAACGAACGCUGGCGGCAUGCCUAACACAUGCAAGUCGAACGAGACCUUCGGGUCUAGUGGCGCACGGGUGCGUAACGCGUGGGAAUCUGCCCUUGGGUUCGGAAUAACAGUUGGAAACGACUGCUAAUACCGGAUGAUGACGUUAAGUCCAAAGAUUUAUCGCCCAGGGAUGAGCCCGCGUAGGAUUAGCUAGUUGGUGAGGUAAAGGCUCACCAAGGCGACGAUCCUUAGCUGGUCUGAGAGGAUGAUCAGCCACACUGGGACUGAGACACGGCCCAGACUCCUACGGGAGGCAGCAGUGGGGAAUAUUGGACAAUGGGCGAAAGCCUGAUCCAGCAAUGCCGCGUGAGUGAUGAAGGCCUUAGGUUGUAAAGCUCUUUACCCGGGAUGAUAAUGACAGUACCGGAGAAUAAGCUCCGGCUAACUCCGUGCCAGCAGCCGC
rnacentral:rRNA from 1 species